UUUGAUGCAUGACCUUGCAACUUCGAUUGCUCGAAUAGGCAUUGGCAUAUUAAAUCCCGUUGCAUUGGGUAAUGCAAAGAAACUGAGGACAUUUAUUUUGCCACGUAAAAGAUUUUUUUGGAAACAUCACAUGAGAUGUCAAUUCAUGAAGUUAAUUUUUUAAACUUUAAGAAGUUAAUUUUUUCAGAUUCUAGAAUUGAAAAAGUGCCUAAUUCCAUAAAAAGCUUAAAACAUCUAGGAUAUCUUGAUGUUUCUGGCAAUAAUGGAAUUAGGACACUUCCAAAUUCUAUUACGGACUUGCAGAAUUUGCAAGUGCUAAACGUGUCAUGUUGUAAGAAUCUGAAGGAACUGCCUAAAGAUAU
rnacentral:misc_RNA from 1 species